GUUUUGUUAACCCCCUUGGACCUGGAGAAUUUUUAUCAAAGGGGGCUAAGAGUUCCUUUGUUAAAGGCUAGCUUGCAAACCUCAAACACAAAUGGGAUACGGCUGUAUAAUCUAUGGAGAGAACAUACAAAAACAAAAUAGUGUGAUACAGUAUAUACAAUAAAUUGUGCGCUUUAAAUGAAUGCACUCACAAGAUGAUGUUAAAGAAGGGCAUUCAUAAGGUGCCUCCCCUGAUAAUAUGGGGGGCUAAUAGUCCUCCUCGCCAAUGCGAAGCUGCCAAUGGAACACGGGACUCCAGAUAGGUAAUAAUCAAAAUCCGG